UGUUCCGUUAACCGUCAGGAAAGAAAAGUGUGUGGAAAAGUGUGAAAUAAAUAGCUUUAUCUUAACAUAUUAUCAUGGAGUCUUCAGGAACAAGAGCCCCACGCAAACGUGUGGCUAAUUUCACGGCGGACGAAAAAGCUUUGUUAGCACAAUUAGUUAAAAAGAGACCAAUCGUGGAAUCUUAAAUAACAGAUGGCAAGUCAGUCGCCAAGAAACAAGCAGCAUGGGAUAGUAUAACACAGGAGUUCAAUCAGGAAUCAAUCACCAACUUCCAGACUACGGGCUGCUUUGUGAAAGUUUAAGAAAACCCACGAGAGACCUCGAGCACAGCAGCCGCGCUUGCGACCACUAGACCAACAAGGCAGUCAAAUAAACUUUGUACUACAUAAUUGUUCAACAAUUAAAAAAGUAUUCGUCUUA